rnacentral:misc_RNA from 1 species
GUCCAUCUCAAGCCCGGCUUGUCGUUGGGUCUCACCGCCCCAAGGCGGUGGGCCCGAAAUUUAAUGACGGGGUCCGACGCCCGUGGACGCAGCGAGCUUUACAGCACGUGUCCCGACGUCGUCGCGGCCUUGUCUUCAACCUCAUUUUCUCUA